rnacentral:rRNA from 1 species
GACGAACCGUGCGAACGUUAUUCGGAAUCACUGGGCUUAAAGCGUGCGUAGGCGGCUCAGAAAGUUGGGUGUGAAAUCCCUCGGCUCAACCGAGGAAUUGCGCCCAAAACUACUGGGCUUGAGGGAGUUAGAGGUGAGCGGAACUCACGGUGGAGCGGUGAAAUGCGUUGAUAUCGUGAGGAACACCGGAGGCGAAAGCGGCUCACUGGGGCUUCACUGACGCUGAGGCACGAAAGCGUGGGGAGCAAACAGG